rnacentral:sRNA from 1 species
GCAUAAGCAAGGGUGCAGUUCAAGCAUCCGGACCAUGCGGUCUAGUCUUGGGAGGACGUGAUUUCCGGCGCGACUUAGUCGCAGCCCCGGCUCUUAACCGGAGUGAAAUCCAGACGCGCGACUAAAAAUGCAAGGCGAAAGCCUUGCAUUUUUUU